GUCUGUUUGGAGUUAUAAAAAGUCUAACCUGCCCACUGAUAAAAGAUUUAAGGGCCGCGGUAUUAUGACCGUGCAAAGGUAGCAAAAUCAUUAGGUUUUUAAAUGAAAUCUUGUAUGAAUGGUUGGACAAAGGAAAAGCUGUCUUUAUUUUAAAAUUUGAAUUUUACUUUUAAGUGAGAAGGCUUAAAUAUUUUAGAGGGACGAUAAGACCCUAUAAAGCUUUACAUUUACAGUUUAUAUUUGAUUGAAUUUGAAAAUAAAAAUUUAAUUUAGUUAUUUGUUAUAUUGGGGAGAUAGAAGUAUAAAUAGUAUCAACUGCUUUUGGUAAAAUCAUUUAUUUAUGUAUAAUUAUAAUAGGUCCUUAUAAAUAAAGAAUAGAAGAUUAAGUUACUUUAGGGAUAACAGUGUAAUUUUUUUUGAGAGUUCAUAUCGAAAAGAAAGUUUGCAACCUCGAUGUUGAAUUAAAAUAUCUAUAUAAUGUAGUUGUUAUAUAAGAGGGUCUGUUCGACCUUU
rnacentral:rRNA from 1 species